UUAAGUCUGGUGGAUCAGAUGCAGCCUGUUUAUUAAUUGGGAACUUGCUUCCAACAUUCAUGGAACAACCACAUCUUCAAUUAUUGUAAUUUUCUGUGACUUGGCUGUGUGACAAUUUGACUUCCUAUCAACUUUAACAGAUCAGACUAUGGUCCAGUUGUAUUUUUUGUUUUAAAAAAAUUCAAUUGGACUGGCUACUAGCAGCAUUUGAAGAUUUCCAGGUGUGUUAUUCCAUGCUCUUCUUGCUGUUAAGCUUAGUUAAACAGUACUGUAUAUAGAAUUCAAGGCAAUUGCUUAAGCAUUGAGAUUACUGAGAAUUGCAGUAGGGUAAGUUUCUAUAUUUCCCUUUUCCAGAAUCACUACAGGUUGUCCCUUCCUUGGAUUUCCUUCCUUUAUUAUGGCAAGAUUUGAGGUUCCAACCUUGUAUGGCACCCAUUUAAUUGCCAAUUUAAAUAAUUUCAUAGUUUUCAUGAUACUUGUAUGUGAUUUCAGAGGAAAUGUUGAGUUCUUAGGCAUUUUUAUACUAUUUUUGCACUGAAUUUGUAAUGUAUAUACAUUUGUACUGUUUAUACCCUAGAAAAUACUGGGAAGGAACUGACUACAGCUAGUUCUCGACUUAUGACAAUUGAACCCCAAUUUUUUGUUGCUAAGUGAAAUAUUUAAGCGUAUUUUGCCCCAUUUUACAACCUUUUAUGCCAUGGUUAACUGCAGUUGUUAGUAACAUGGUUGUUAAGUGAAUAUCGCUUCCCCUUUGACCCAUGACCCUGGCACACAGCAACCAUCAUAAAUACAAGUCAGUUGUUAAGCAUCUGAUUUCUGAUCACAUGACUAUGUGGAUACUGCAACAAUUGUGUGAAAAAUGGCCAUGUCACUUUUUUCAGUGCCAUUGUAACUUUGAACAGUCACUAAGUGAACUGUUGUAAGUCAAGGACUACCUGAAUAUGCUGCUAUUUGUUUGUAGUGAGAAUUCAGUUUUAAUUGGACACCCGGCCUAAGAUUAAUGGUACUUUCUGCUGUUUAAGGAUUAAAAUUGCUUAAAAUUCUUGAUAACAUUGGAAAGAAUUUGUCCUUGUUUUCCUCCUGGUAAUGUAUGUAUAUAAUGUAUAUGUGUCUUUCUUGGAAGAACCAUAAAAUCAAAUGCCAGAACCUGUAUUAAAACCGUGGCUGAUUAAUGGGUAUUAUAGGUUUCUCACUUUAUCUUUUAAGUUCGAAGACUGAAUAUUUCAAAUGUAUCUGGUACUCAGUCUCCUAAAACUGGAGAGCUCUGCAUUGAGCUAAAACUAAACUCUAAAAAUGCUUGUGUUAAACAUCACACAAAAUGUAGUACUAAUGUUAAAUUCAGCCAAUGAUUGGCAAUUACCCUUUAUCUCAUUGGUGGAAAAAUGUUAAUAUGCAAGAAAGCAGUU